rnacentral:rRNA from 1 species
GACGAACGCUGGCGGCGCGCCUAACACAUGCAAGUCGAACGAGAGAUGAGGAGCUUGCUCUUCAAAUCGAGUGGCGAACGGGUGAGUAACGCGUGAGGAACCUGCCUCAAAGAGGGGGACAACAGUUGGAAACGACUGCUAAUACCGCAUAAGCCCACGGCUCGGCAUCGAGCAGAGGGAAAAGGAGCAAUCCGCUUUGAGAUGGCCUCGCGUCCGAUUAGCUAGUUGGUGAGGUAAUGGCCCACCAAGGCGACGAUCGGUAGCCGGACUGAGAGGUUGAACGGCCACAUUGGGACUGAGACACGGCCCAGACUCCUACGGGAGGCAGCAGUGGGGAAUAUUGCACAAUGGGGGAAACCCUGAUGCAGCGACGCCGCGUGGAGGAAGAAGGUCUUCGGAUUGUAAACUCCUGUUGUUGAGGAAGAUAAUGACGGUACUCAACAAGGAAGUGACGGCUAACUACGUGCCAGCAGCCGCGGUAAAACGUAGGUCACAAGCGUUGUCCGGAAUUACUGGGUGUAAAGGGAGCGCAGGCGGGAGAACAAGUUGGAAGUGAAAUCCAUGGGCUCAACCCAUGAACUGCUUUCAAAACUGUUUUUCUUGAGUAGUGCAGAGGUAGGCGGAAUUCCCGGUGUAGCGGUGGAAUGCGUAGAUAUCGGGAGGAACACCAGUGGCGAAGGCGGCCUACUGGGCACCAACUGACGCUGAGGCUCGAAAGUGUGGGUAGCAAACAGGAUUAGAUACCCUGGUAGUCCACACCGUAAACGAUGAUUACUAGGUGUUGGGGGAUUGACCCCUUCAGUGCCGCAGUUAACACAAUAAGUAAUCCACCUGGGGAGUACGUCCGCAAGGUUGAAACUCAAAGGAAUUGACGGGGGCCCGCACAAGCAGUGGAGUAUGUGGUUUAAUUCGACGCAACGCGAAGAACCUUACCAGGUCUUGACAUCCCUUGACGAACAUAGAAAUAUGUUUUCUCUUCGGAGCAAGGAGACAGGUGGUGCAUGGUUGUCGUCAGCUCGUGUCGUGAGAUGUUGGGUUAAGUCCCGCAACGAGCGCAACCCUUAUGGUCAGUUACUACGCAAGAGGACUCUGGCCAGACUGCCGUUGACAAAACGGAGGAAGGUGGGGAUGACGUCAAAUCAUCAUGCCCUUUAUGACUUGGGCUACACACGUACUACAAUGGCGUUAAACAAAGAGAAGCAAGACCGCGAGGUGGAGCAAAACUCAGAAACAACGUCCCAGUUCGGACUGCAGGCUGCAACUCGCCUGCACGAAGUCGGAAUUGCUAGUAAUCGUGGAUCAGCAUGCCACGGUGAAUACGUUCCCGGGCCUU